rnacentral:misc_RNA from 1 species
AACGCAUAUUGCGCCUGCUGGUAUUCCGGUAGGCAUAUCUGUUUGAGCGUCAGCAAACUACAAUCGAUCCUUAGUGCGUAUCACGAAGCCGCGCUUUGGUUGGUAAUGGGUCGGAGAGAUAUUCUGAACGUUUGUUCGGCCUUCGACUUUAAAUUUGCUGUACGACCGCGAGCCACGUUCCAGUCUGCAGAGUGGAAAUCGUUUUUGAACUUCUGCAUCCGACUUUGAACCGGUUCCGGCGGCGUUAAACUGAAAUUAACUGAAGUUUGACCUCAAAUCAGAUAAGAAUACCCGCUGAACUUAA